CCUACGGGUGGCAGCAGUGAGGAAUAUUGGUCAAUGGGCGCGAGCCUGAACCAGCCAAGUCGCGUGAAGGAUGACUGCCCUACGGGUUGUAAACUUCUUUUAUAAAGGAAUAAAGUGCGGCACGUGUGCCUUUUUGUAUGUACUUUAUGAAUAAGGAUCGGCUAACUCCGUGCCAGCAGCCGCGGUAAUACGGAGGAUCCGAGCGUUAUCCGGAUUUAUUGGGUUUAAAGGGAGCGUAGAUGGUUUUUUAAGUCAGUUGUGAAAGUUUGCGGCUCAACCGUAAAAUUGCAAUUGAUACUGGCAGUCUAGAGUUCGGUUGAGGUAGGCGGAAUGCGUGGUGUAGCGGUGAAAUGCUUAGAUAUCACGAAGAACUCCGAUUGCGAAGGCAGCUUGCUAGGCUGCCACUGACACUGAUGCACGAAAGUGUGGGUAUCGAACAGGAUUAGAUACCCGAGUAGUC
rnacentral:rRNA from 1 species